GAGGAAGAUCUAUCUCCCAACUUCCUAUUAUGUACCUUUAAUCUGUUCUUUGUAAUUUUGGAUUCUCAUCCUAGAGAAACCAUGUGAUAUCUGAGCUUGUAUGUCCGUUUUAUUUCAUACAUCCUUCUGUCCUACUUUCCAUUACAAAUUCUUUAUCUUUCCACUUCACGAGUGUACAGUGAAUUGCUACCAUUCUUUUUUUACAGCCCUGGUUCCUGCAAAUUUCCUAAAUUUAGUAUUCAUGCUUUUCAUUCUGUAGAAACAAACCUCCCACUAUGGUCUUCACAAAACCGCAUACGUCCACCUGUAAAAGAUUCCGGCAAUCCGAAAGGGAUUUAGUACGAGAACAGGACAGCGGGGAUUCUGUGCUGCCCUCUUCUACAUCUUCCGGGAAGGCCUUAGUGGAACCCCGGCUGGCAAAUCCACAAAGAGCGCACGUGGUGAUUUCCAUUCCUACCUCCCACCAAAAGGCAAAGUUCUCCACAGCACACUACUUUUAUGUAGGAAAACAUGGAGGGACGGAAAACUGGUAGAGGUAAGAAGAGCUCCUCUACUGCUCACUGGUGAGGGAGGAAACCUGGCCUGUAUAGCACGGAUGUGAAAAUGAGGUGACAUUUUUCACAGCACUACUAUCCUUAAUCUCUGCGAAAAGUGGACUCGCCCCCUAUGAAGGAACUUCCCAAGAAAGAACAAAGCUGUGUGUGGAAAUCUUUGCUGAAACUGCCCUACAUUGGACUAAGAGAGUUAUGACGCACGUGACCAAGUCCUCACAGUCUCUACCUGCUGGAGGUAUCUCCCCUUCUCGAGCUCUGCUUAUUACUGACCCCGCGGGCCGGGGCAAGUGGCGCCCGAACGUGGGACUUGAGACACGGGGUCUUCACCUGAUGGAUGCUGCUCAGAAGAUCGGCCGAUCGACUCCAGGACCUCCGCCCAAAUGGCGAGUUGGUUCUUCAUAGCGGUCCGCUCAGACCCACGCGUCUGAGAAAGCGACCUGCGAGGUAAGUGAGCAGCACAAAAAUGGGACAACAGGUUAAUAAACAUGUAAUUUUUGUUCAGGACUUAAAGUCCGCCCUCAGGGCGCGGGGAGUUCAAAUUAAAAAAAAAAAAAAAGGAUCUAAUUAAAUUCUUUAAAUUUGUGGAAGAAACCUGCCCUUGGUUUCCCCUUGAAGGAGUUGUUAAUGAAAAACACUGGAACAGAGUCAAAGAUUGUUUUGAUGAUUCCCUGACGAGGAUUUCAGGGUAAAAUCUAAGUUCUUUUUCUUUUGUAUGGCGCCUAUGUGUCUUGUCUGUGUCCUG